GGAUGUGAUCAUACCAGCACUAAAGCAUGGGAUCCCAUCAGAACUCCGAAGUUAAGCGUGCUUUGGAGAGAGUAGUACUAGGAUGGGUGA
rnacentral:rRNA from 1 species